UACAAGGAACAUAAAGCCCUUGGAACAGUGCCCAGCACACAGCAACCACAGGCUACAUGUUGGCUGUGACAGUUAUUACCCCUUGGCCAUUCUUACUAUGUGCUAAGUGUCUUAGGGUUUGUUCUUGCACCCUCCUGACCUGGAUUUUCUUUUAAGGAAGGCACCUUGAAUUUUUCCAUUUUGCUGAUACACAUGAAAUGACUGUUGCUCACUAAAAAAGCUUCUGGGCUCAUGGCAGGAGGGAACCAGACCAGCAUCUUGGAGUUCCUCCUCUGGGGACUCUCAGGGCGGCCAGAACAGCAGUGCAUCCUGUUCCUGCUGUUCCUGCAGAUGUAUGUGGUCACCGUGGCCGGGAACCUUCAUUCUGGUCAUUGGCACUGACGCACGUCUUCACACACCCAUGUACUUCUUCCUCGCCAGCCUGUCCUGUGCUGACAUCCUUUUCACCUCCACCACCGUGCCCAAGGCCCUGGUGAAUAUCCAGACCCAGAGCAGGUCCAUUUCCUAUGCGGGAUGCUUGGUCCAGCUGUACUUCUUCUUGACUUUCGGGGACAUGGACAUCUUUCUCCUGGCCACAAUGGCCUAUGACCGCUACGUGGCCAUCUGCCACCCUCUCCACUGUACGAUGGUCACCGCUGCCCUCCAGUGCUACACCUUCAUGGGGACUGCCUGCUCAUGACCAGCCUUGUUGCCAUGACCUACACCUUCCUCAUACUCUUUUUCUUUCUGCUGUACAUCGUCCCUGACUGUUUUAUGAUCUGGGACCACGAUGAAAGCAUUUUUUCUCUGA